rnacentral:tRNA from 1 species
AGAGCUUUAAGUUAUAAAUAAACUGUUAACCUUCAAAGUUAAAAAUAUAUUAAGUAUAAGCUUUA